ACGGCGAGUGAAGCGGCAACAGCUCAAAUUUGAAAUCUGGCCUCUUUGGGGUCCGAGUUGUAAUUUGUAGAGGAUGUUUCGGGUACCGCCUCGGUUUAAAUUUCUUGGAACAGAAUGUCAAAGAGGGUGAGAAUCCCGUCUUGGACCGGCGGUAGGGCCCAUGUGAAACUCCUUCGACGAGUCGAGUUGUUUGGGAAUGCAGCUCAAAAUGGGUGGUAAAUUUCAUCUAAAGCUAAAUAUUGGCCAGAGACCGAUAGCGCACAAGUAGAGUGAUCGAAAGAUGAAAAGCACUUUGAAAAGAGAGUUAAACAGUAUGUGAAAUUGUUGAAAGGGAAGCGCUUACAACCAGACUUGAGCGCGGCGGUUCCCCCUUCCUUUUGGUUGGGUUACUCCGUCGUGUCCAGGCCAACAUCGGUUUCGGGGGUCGGUUAAAGACCUUGGGAAUGUAUCUACCCUUCGGGCGUAGACUUAUAGCCCAGGGUGUCAUGCGGCCUCCCGGGACCGAGGAACGCGCUUCGGCUCGGAUGUUGGCGUAAUGGUUGUCAGCGACCCGUCUUGA
rnacentral:rRNA from 1 species